CCUACGGGAGUCAGCAGUGGGGAAUAUUGGGCAAUGGGCGCAAGCCUGACCCAGCAACGCCGCGUGAAGGAAGAAGGCUUUCGGGUUGUAAACUUCUUUUGACAGGGAAGAGUAGAAGACGGUACCUGUCGAAUAAGCCACGGCUAACUACGUGCCAGCAGCCGCUGUAAUACGUAGGUGGCAAGCGUUGUCCGGAUUUACUGGGUGUAAAGGGCGUGUAGCCGGGUUGACAAGUCAGAUGUGAAAUCCUGCGGCUUAACCGCAGAACUGCAUUUGAAACUGUUGAUCUUGAGUUCUGGAGAGGCAGACGGAAGUCCUAGUGUAGCGGUGAAAUGCGUAGAUAUUAGGAGGAACACCAGUGGCGAAGGCGGUCUGCUGGACAGCAACUGACGGUGAGGCGCGAAAGCGUGGGGAGCGAACAGGAUUAGAUACCCCUGUAGUC
rnacentral:rRNA from 1 species